rnacentral:rRNA from 1 species
CCUACGGGAGGCAGCAGUGGGGAAUAUUGCACAAUGGGGGAAACCCUGAUGCAGCGACGCCGCGUGAGUGAAGAAGUAAUUCGGUAUGUAAAGCUCUAUCAGCAGGGAAGAAAAUGACGGUACCUGAGUAAGAAGCCCCGGCUAACUACGUGUCAGCAGCCGCGGUAAUACGUAGGGGGCAAGCGUUAUCCGGAUUUACUGGGUGUAAAGGGAGCGUAGACGGCAGUGCAAGACUGGAGUGAAAGGCGGGGGCUCAACCCCCGGACUGCUCUGGAAACUGUACGGCUGGAGUGCAGGAGAGGUAAGUGGAAUUCCUAGUGUAGCGGUGAAAUGCGUAGAUAUUAGGAGGAACACCAGUGGCGAAGGCAGCUUACUGGACUGUAACUGACGUUGAGGCUCGAAAGCGUGGGGAGCAAACAGGAUUAGAUACCCCAGUAGUC